CCUACGGGAGGCAGCAGUGAGGGAUAUUGGUCAAUGGGGGAAACCCUGAACCAGCGACGCCGCGUGGGUGAAGAAGGUCUUCGGAUCGUAAAGCCCUUUUCUGGGUGAAGAGACAGGACGGUAGCCCAGGAAGAAGUCUCGGCUAACUACGUGCCAGCAGCCGCGGUAAU
rnacentral:rRNA from 1 species